AAACUUUCAACAACGGAUCUCUUGGUUCUGGCAUCGAUGAAGAACGCAGCGAAAUGCGAUAAGUAAUGUGAAUUGCAGAAUUCAGUGAAUCAUCGAAUCUUUGAACGCACAUUGCGCUCUCUGGCAUUCCGGAGGGCAUGCCUGUUCGAGCGUCAUUU
rnacentral:rRNA from 1 species